UACGGAGGGUGCAAGCGUUAUCCGGAUUUACUGGGGUUAAAGGGUGCGUAGGUGGGUAGGUAAGUCAGUGGUGAAAUCUUCGAGCUUAACUCGGAAACUGCCAUUGAUACUAUUUAUCUUGAAUACUCUGGAGGUAAGCGGAAUAUGUCAUGUAGCGGUGAAAUGCUUAGAUAUGACAUAGAACACCAAUUGCGAAGGCAGCUUACUACAUAGUUAUUGACACUGAGGCACGAAAGCGUGGGGAUCAAACAGG
rnacentral:rRNA from 1 species